AUGGAGAUGUUUCUUGAAGGGUCAUUAACACUCCUAUGGAUGCAGCUGACAUGGGUGAGUGGCCAACAACUGACUCAGAGUCCUCAGUCCAUGUCCAUCCAGGAAGGAGAGGGUAUCUCCAUGAGCUGCAGCUCCUCAAGCACACUCAAUGCCUUGCAAUGGUACAAGCAGGAUGCUGGAGAAGGCCCUGUCCUCCUGCUAGUCUUAUAUAAAGGUGGUGAAUUGACCAGCAAGGGGACACUGAAGGCUCAGUUUGGCGGAACAAGAAAGGACAGCUUCCUGAACAUUUCAGCCUCUGAGCCUGCCCAUUCGGGCACCUACUUCUGUGCUGGGAGGGUGUAUAGUGAUGACAUGGUGAUUCAGAGACCCCCAUCUCUGUUUGUCUAUGAGGGAGACAGUGCAACUCUCGAGUGCCAUUACCAGGCAUCUGAGUUUCGAAGCCUACAGUCGUAUAAACAGGAAGAGAAAUCUCCCAUAUCCUGUUUAGGCUCAUUGCAAGUGGGGUUGUCUAUGGAAGAAUGA